rnacentral:rRNA from 1 species
GAUGAACGCUGGCGGCGUGCUUAACACAUGCAAGUCGAACGGAAAGGCUCCUGCUUGCAGGGGUACUCGAGUGGCGAACGGGUGAGUAACACGUGGGUGAUCUGCCCUGCACUUCGGGAUAAGCCUGGGAAACUGGGUCUAAUACCGGAUAGGACGAUGGUUUGGAUGCCAUUGUGGAAAGUUUUUCGGUGUGGGAUGAGCUCGCGGCCUAUCAGCUUGUUGGUGGGGUAAUGGCCUACCAAGGCGUCGACGGGUAGCCGGCCUGAGAGGGUGUACGGCCACAUUGGGACUGAGAUACGGCCCAGACUCCUACGGGAGGCAGCAGUGGGGAAUAUUGCACAAUGGGCGCAAGCCUGAUGCAGCGACGCCGCGUGGGGGAUGGCGGCCUUCGGGUUGUAAACUCCUUUCGCUAGGGACGAAGCGCAAGUGACGGUACCUGGAGAAGAAGCACCGGCUAACUACGUG